GGGAAAAUAACUUCGCAAUGGAGGAACCUGGCAGACACCACUUUAACAAGAUGAUCAAGAUUAGUAUCAUCAGUAACAAGAUAAUUUCAGAUCUAAAACAAUGACGUGGGGCAGAGUCAGAAUCUGAGUGAGAAAGCGAUGGCAUCUGCACAGAGGGAUUGCCAAGACUGUCAAGGCCCAAGCAAACUGAGGAUGGCCACACACAUCGCAGUACAGAAAGAGAUGUCAGAACCUGAGCGAGUCAAGAGGAGAAUCAGAAGCAUAUAAUAUUGCAGAAGAAUAAAUCUGAAGACUGCUAGUGAUCAAAAAAGUGAAGACUGGAGAAAGAAGGCACUGGAUUUAGUAAUGAAAGAAAUUGCUAAUACUCAGAAGACAUUUCAGUAGUAGUGCACUGGGUGAAAGAUGA